UACGUAGGGGGCAAGCGUUGUCCGGAUUUAUUGGGCGUAAAGAGCGUGUAGGCGGCCAGACAGGUCCGUUGUGAAAACUCGAGGCUCAACCUCGAGACGCCGAUGGAAACCGUCUGGCUAGAGUCCGGAAGAGGAGAGUGGAAUUCCUGGUGUAGCGGUGAAAUGCGCAGAUAUCAGGAGGAACACCGAUGGCGAAGGCAGGUCUCUGGGCCGAUACUGACGCUGAGGAGCGAAAGCGUGGGGAGCGAACAGG
rnacentral:rRNA from 1 species